rnacentral:rRNA from 1 species
CCUACGGGCGGCUGCAGUAAGGAAUAUUGGUCAAUGGAGGAAACUCUGAACCAGCCAUCCCGCGUGAAGGAUGAAGGGGCUCUGCCUUGUAAACUUCUUUUGUCUGGGGCGAAACAUCUCGAUUUAUCGAGAACUGACGGUACCAGAAGAAUAAGCACCGGCUAACUCCGUGCCAGCAGCCGCGGUAAUCCGGAGGGUGCAAGCAUUAUCCGGAAUCACGGGGUUGAAGGCGUGCGUGGACGGCUUAGGUGAAAGGCUGUGGCUUAACCAGGGAAGUGCCAUUGAUACUGCAGAGCUGGAAUGAGGUUGAGGUUGGCGGAAUGUGACAUGUAGCGGUGAAAUGCUUAGAUAUGUCAUGGAACACCGAUUGCGAAGGCAGCUGACUGGACCUAGAUUGACGCUGAGGCACGAAAGCGUGGGGAGCGAACAGGAUUAGAUACCCCAGUAGUC